AAUAAGUUGCUGCCAUUACUGGAAAAUAACAUUGUUAGAUCUACGCCAUCCAAACUGAGUUGAGCAGGUUCUGCAGACAUGUGCCAUUUGUGAUGAAGACCUUGUCUGUGGAUCUCGGGUUUGAAAGUUUCAAGAGAGCUGACUGAGACCCUAUCUCAAAAUGAAAGCUGAACUGAAAAUGAAACUGAAAUGGAAGCAGAAAAGGUAAAUCCAGAAAUAAAACGGAACUUCAUAGACUCUAAGGAAAUCAGGAGAAAGAUGAAGUUAGGAAAUAGAAACUGAAACCUUGUUGAAAAGUGUAAAAGACACAGAUCAGUCCAAGCAGCAGUAGUGGUUGUUGAGUCCACUGGAGCAGAACAGAAGAAGAAGAGGCUAAUCCAGAGGCCGAGAAUAAGAAAAGAGAAUAAGUUGCUGCAGCCUUUCUAUUACUGGAAGAUAACAUUGGUGGGUCUAUGCCACCCAGACUAAGUUGAGCAGGUUCUGCAGAGGGGUACAAAUUUUGGUGAAGACCAUGCCCAUGGACCACGGUUUGGUUGUGUGCUGCUGGCAGCUGGGGAUCAGACUAGCUCCUAGGAGGAAAGGAUCUGAAAUCCCUCCUGAGAAGACAGAGUUUGAAGGAGUUUGUGACUCACUGUGAUCACUGAAAUCUGAAUGGACUGCUGAACCAAUUCAUAAAAUCUGUCAUAGUUAUA